UACGUAGGGUGCGAGCGUUAAUCGGAAUUACUGGGCGUAAAGCGUGCGCAGGCUGUUUUGUAAGACAGAUGUGAAAUCCCCGGGCUUAACCUGGGAACUGCAUUUGUGACUGCAAGACUAGAGUGUGUCAGAGGGGGGUGGAAUUCCACGUGUAGCAGUGAAAUGCGUAGAGAUGUGGAGGAACACCGAUGGCGAAGGCAGCCCCCUGGGAUAACACUGACGCUCAGGCACGAAAGCGUGGGGAGCAAACAGG
rnacentral:rRNA from 1 species